rnacentral:rRNA from 1 species
GAUGAACGCUAGCGGCAGGCCUAACACAUGCAAGUCGAGGGGUAACAUAGGAAAGCUUGCUUUUCUGAUGACGACCGGCGCACGGGUGCGUAACGCGUAUACAACCUACCUUUUAGCGGGGAAUAGCCCAGGGAAACUUGGAUUAAUGCCCAUAGUAUAUAGACUUCUCCUGAAGUUUAUAUUAAACAUUUAUGGCUAUUAGAUGGGUAUGCGUCCUAUUAGUUAGUUGGUAAGGUAACGGCUUACCAAGGCAGCGAUAGGUAGGGGUCCUGAGAGGGAGAUCCCCACACUGGUACUGAGACACGGACCAGACUCCUACGGGAGGCAGCAGUGAGGAAUAUUGGACAAUGGGCGAGAGCCUGAUCCAGCCAUGCCGCGUGCAGGAAGACUGCCCUAUGGGUUGUAAACUGCUUUUACAGAGGAAGAACCACCCCCACGUGUGGGGGUUUGACGGUACUCUGCGAAUAAGGAUCGGCUAACUCCGUG